AGAUUUGAGAUAGCCAUGAACAAGUGAGUAAAGAUAACCGAACAAACAUGGGCUGUAACUGCCUGUCGUUUGCUAUCGCUAGUAACUCAACGAAUUAGCGCGAAGAUUGACUGUGAUUUAUGCACGGCCUUCAUAUCCAGGGAAUUACAAUGCGCGUGCUUAGUUACGCUGCUCGAAAUUUAUGCACAUGUGCAGAGUUAAACACAAAAUAGGCAUGGUGUGGAUGCACCUUAAAAGUUAGUUAUUCAAAAUAACCUUUGAGGCACUUGUCCUUAGAGUUGGAUUUGCAUUCAGGUAGCGUUUGCCAUCCGUAGAUUUAUUCUUCUAAUAUAAAUGAUAUAGCUCAAUUCACAGAAGCAAUUCCCACAUUAUGAAGUGUCAAAUCAGUAGGGUACUCGUUUGUGUGUAUGUGCAACUAGAUUUCUUCCUCACUGUAUGUAUAAAUAAAUAAAUUGUCGGAAAUUCAGUUACUAGUUAGAAAACAGUUUUAAUAAUUAUAUGCUGUGAAAUGCUACUUCUAAUGAAGAAUGAACAUUUCGGUUAAUAUUGUGUCACAAGUGAUCACGAAAAUGUUCACAGGUGAGAUAAUACGAAUCAUUUCUGCUGAAAGUGCAGAUCUAGGAUGAUUACUGAAAAUACACAACGUAACUAGAGUAGUUUGACACAUCUGAAUGUAAUAGGCGUAUUAUGUUUUCAUUUAUGGUGAAUUUUUAUAGAUAAAGGGAUCAUAUUGACAUUUGUGCGCAUCUUUACCUUCUUUAGACCUGCACGAGUGACUUCAUAUAGGUGAUAUAGAACUGUGGCAGAUUAAGUUGUGGGUGUUCAUGUAAUGAACUGCUGGGAAGAGGUUACAGAAGAUGACACAGAAGGUUUGGAAUUUGAAAGAGACUCUGGUGCAGAUGAUGUAGCCACUAUUUCCACACUUUCCAACACUCCUGCAAUAACUAAUGGUAGUGUGUGUAUAACACAGUGGCAAGUAGGCUAGUUGAUGAAACAUCUAGUACAGAUUCAGCAUGUAGGAUAUACUGUUUGCUUGUGCUUGAAGCAUUUCAUGACAAUUUUGAAACAAGUUGAUACUGAAAUGGCUGCAAAUGUGGAUUUAUAUACAUGGUCUGAAGUUGAUGGUGCUAAUUUCCUGCAGAUUUGUUUAAAAAAAAAUAGCUAAAAUUUUGUGCUGGUUCAUUGGCAUGAAUAUUUACCACCACACAUCUUGUGGUGAACUUACUAGUAUGUAAUAGAGUACAUAGGGCGCAGUUACAUUGAUAACUAUUACCAAAGAACACAUACUGUUUGUAUUUCAGUGUUACAUGGGAUAAAACAUAAUUAAAGGAUUAAUGUCCAUUCUGCAUAUCUGUAGGGUACAACUGGCCUGAUUGUAACCAUACAUAUUUGCAAUUUUAGCUGUCUGUCUGAUAACUUGGAGACUAAUAAUUUAUAUAUACGUAUGAUAUCUGUACAAAGUUUGGUUCUUGUGCAAUAAAUAAUUGAAAGUGUUCCCAGACUUUAUGUACACCCUGUAUGUUACGUAUAUUUACUGAUCGAUCCAAAAAUCUUUCAAGAUUCUGGGACAGAUCUAAAGAAUGAAUUUGCAAAUAUUGUAUGCGCGUGCACACACUCAAACACACGCUGCUACAGAAAAUUAAAGAUAGAUUGUUGUUCUUGGAGUUCCAGAAGCUGCGAAAGUGUAUCUGCCGACCUCUACUUUCACUUUCAGCAAUAAAGCAAAAACACGCUGAAAUCAAAUGGAGUGCAGCGGGUAUUACUCCACGAUAGUGGAUUAUUUUCAAAGGACUUCAUGAAUGGAUAAUAUACUGUGAAGCAGUAUUCAGAAUGCUGAACUUCUUAAACAGAUGUCUACAAGAUGAUUGUGGAUUGAAGAUAGACCGUUAUGUUUGUUAAUGAUGGAUCUAGACACAUUGUUUAGGAUGCCAGUACUAAACACUCUGUACACCAACUAGAUAAUAAUUUUUGAUCAGGAAUGCUACCCUGAUAUGUCGGAGCUCCACUACUUUUCACUCCAAGAUGUCGCCCAAUAUGACGUGUUAUUUGACAAUUUCCAGGCAGUCUUCUGAACUUCAGAAAUCUGUUGCGUAUUCAAAUACAGAGAUACGUCAACAGGAAGAAUAUGGUGCUACGAUCGGCAAUGCCUAUACAAAACAAGUGUCUCUGCAGCAUUUGUUACAUCGGUUACUGCUGCUACAAUGGCAGGUUAUCAAGAUGUAUAUAAGGGCCCUCCGGCCCAUGUGUGGUGGAUUCACUUGGUGUUGCGCAUGCGCUACUUGAGUGCAUCUGAUUCUGCUGUGCCGCGUGCCCUCCCUGGUGAAAACUCACCGCAUCAAUAUCAAUUCGAUUGUCUUCCUGCGGUUCCAUCACAGAACUACGCCAGCUACAGAGGACACGAAGUUUUUCGACGAUUGGAUUCCGUGCCGAAUUCAGUUGGAAACCGUCGUCAUGAUUAAUAAGACUCUCAUUGUCAGACAGCCCGAUUUCCACGGCUUCAUUAAUAACAGAACUCCAAAAGUUAGAUACAUGGGCGACAAUUUUUGUCUCGUUGUAAUUCAUGGCAUGACCAGUGUAAAUACAGUGUUCGGCGAUGGCAGACUUACAAGGUUGAAGAAGGCGAGUAUGCCGCUGAUGUUCUACGAUGAGAUCAUUCACAGUACACAUCAUCUGCCCUAUGUAAGAUUUGCCACAUUCACACAGAAUUCUGUAAACACCUGCCUUGCGCAGCUCUAGGUCGUCUUUGACAGAUGCCAACAAUGCCGAAAUUUUUGCAGGAGGGCGAAAGAUUACUUUCACUUUAUAUUUUCUUAGUAUUCUGCUUAUUUGCGCUGAAAUAUUACCAGUAUAUGGUAAUGGAGAGAGAGCUGCAGACCAGGGGAGAGCGCUGCAGACCUGUAAACGACGGAACAAAGAAGAGGAAGAGGCCUUUAAAACAACUGCCGAUUUAUCAUAUAUUGGUAAUAUGGUCUCUGUGCUUUAUAUUGAAACAAAAGUUUCCCAAGGUUCAUGACAGUUAUUGCACUUUAUGUAAGAACAAGAACAUUUAUAAGGAUUAGGCAUCUGAAUCAGUAAGCAAAGUUGUAAACCAUGAAGAAAUGUGCCAGGAGGAGGAAGCAGCUAUGGAUUGCAUCUUCAUCUGGUAAACAGCAAUAGGAAUCUGGAACACACUAUACAUGCUUUGUCAUCAUAUGAAUGUUAUUUUCAGCUUAAUUACCACUUAUUCAGUCAUAAUGUGUAAUUCGUCUGCCAUGCUACUUGUUCUAAUUUGUCCACCUGUGUAUGGAACCAAACUGAAAGUGAAAUGAAUGAAUAAAACACCAGAGCACCUGUAGUGUA